rnacentral:rRNA from 1 species
CCGAGAUUCCCCCAGUAGCGGCGAGCGAACGGGGAGGAGCCCAGAGCCUGAAUCAGUGUGUGUGUUAGUGGAAGCGUCUGGAAAGGCGCGCGAUACAGGGUGACAGCCCCGUACACAAAAAUACACAUAUUGUGAGCUCGAUGAGUAGGGCGGGACACGUGGUAUCCUGUCUGAAUAUGGGGGGACCAUCCUCCAAGGCUAAAUACUCCUGACUGACCGAUAGUGAACCAGUACCGUGAGGGAAAGGCGAAAAGAACCCCGGCGAGGGGAGUGAAAAAGAACCUGAAACCGUGUACGUACAAGCAGUGGGAGCACGCUUAGGCGUGUGACUGCGUACCUUUUGUAUAAUGGGUCAGCGACUUAUAUUCUGUAGCAAGGUUAACCGAAUAGGGGAGCCGAAGGGAAACCGAGUCUUAACUGGGCGUUAAGUUGCAGGGUAUAGACCCGAAACCCGGUGAUCUAGCCAUGGGCAGGUUGAAGGUUGGGUAACACUAACUGGAGGACCGAACCGACUAAUGUUGAAAAAUUAGCGGAUGACUUGUGGCUGGGGGUGAAAGGCCAAUCAAACCGGGAGAUAGCUGGUUCUCCCCGAAAGCUAUUUAGGUAGCGCCUCGUGAAUUCAUCUCCGGGGGUAGAGCACUGUUUCGGCAAGGGGGUCAUCCCGACUUACCAACCCGAUGCAAACUGCGAAUACCGGAGAAUGUUAUCACGGGAGACACACGGCGGGUGCUAACGUCCGUCGUGAAGAGGGAAACAACCCAGACCGCCAGCUAAGGUCCCAAAGUCAUGGUUAAGUGGGAAACGAUGUGGGAAGGCCCAGACAGCCAGGAUGUUGGCUUAGAAGCAGCCAUCAUUUAAAGAAAGCGUAAUAGCUCACUGGUCGAGUCGGCCUGCGCGGAAGAUGUAACGGGGCUAAACCAUGCACCGAAGCUGCGGCAGCGACGCUUAUGCGUUGUUGGGUAGGGGAGCGUUCUGUAAGCCUGCGAAGGUGUGCUGUGAGGCAUGCUGGAGGUAUCAGAAGUGCGAAUGCUGACAUAAGUAACGAUAAAGCGGGUGAAAAGCCCGCUCGCCGGAAGACCAAGGGUUCCUGUCCAACGUUAAUCGGGGCAGGGUGAGUCGACCCCUAAGGCGAGGCCGAAAGGCGUAGUCGAUGGGAAACAGGUUAAUAUUCCUGUACUUGGUGUUACUGCGAAGGGGGGACGGAGAAGGCUAUGUUGGCCGGGCGACGGUUGUCCCGGUUUAAGCGUGUAGGCUGGUUUUCCAGGCAAAUCCGGAAAAUCAAGGCUGAGGCGUGAUGACGAGGCACUACGGUGCUGAAGCAACAAAUGCCCUGCUUCCAGGAAAAGCCUCUAAGCAUCAGGUAACAUCAAAUCGUACCCCAAACCGACACAGGUGGUCAGGUAGAGAAUACCAAGGCGCUUGAGAGAACUCGGGUGAAGGAACUAGGCAAAAUGGUGCCGUAACUUCGGGAGAAGGCACGCUGAUAUGUAGGUGAAGUCCCUUGCGGAUGGAGCUGAAAUCAGUCGAAGAUACCAGCUGGCUGCAACUGUUUAUUAAAAACACAGCACUGUGCAAACACGAAAGUGGACGUAUACGGUGUGACGCCUGCCCGGUGCCGGAAGGUUAAUUGAUGGGGUCAGCGCAAGCGAAGCUCUUGAUCGAAGCCCCGGUAAACGGCGGCCGUAACUAUAACGGUCCUAAGGUAGCGAAAUUCCUUGUCGGGUAAGUUCCGACCUGCACGAAUGGCGUAAUGAUGGCCAGGCUGUCUCCACCCGAGACUCAGUGAAAUUGAACUCGCUGUGAAGAUGCAGUGUACCCGCGGCAAGACGGAAAGACCCCGUGAACCUUUACUAUAGCUUGACACUGAACAUUGAGCCUUGAUGUGUAGGAUAGGUGGGAGGCUUUGAAGUGUGGACGCCAGUCUGCAUGGAGCCGGCCUUGAAAUACCACCCUUUAAUGUUUGAUGUUCUAACGUGGACCCGUGAUCCGGGUUGCGGACAGUGUCUGGUGGGUAGUUUGACUGGGGCGGUCUCCUCCUAAAGAGUAACGGAGGAGCACGAAGGUUGGCUAAUCCUGGUCGGACAUCAGGAGGUUAGUGCAAUGGCAUAAGCCAGCUUGACUGCGAGCGUGACGGCGCGAGCAGGUGCGAAAGCAGGUCAUAGUGAUCCGGUGGUUCUGAAUGGAAGGGCCAUCGCUCAACGGAUAAAAGGUACUCCGGGGAUAACAGGCUGAUACCGCCCAAGAGUUCAUAUCGACGGCGGUGUUUGGCACCUCGAUGUCGGCUCAUCACAUCCUGGGGCUGAAGUAGGUCCCAAGGGUAUGGCUGUUCGCCAUUUAAAGUGGUACGCGAGCUGGGUUUAGAACGUCGUGAGACAGUUCGGUCCCUAUCUGCCGUGGGCGCUGGAGAACUGAGGGGGGCUGCUCCUAGUACGAGAGGACCGGAGUGGACGCAUCACUGGUGUUCGGGUUGUCAUGCCAAUGGCACUGCCCGGUAGCUAAAUGCGGAAGAGAUAAGUGCUGAAAGCAUCUAAGCACGAAACUUGCCCCGAGAUGAGUUCUCCCUGACCCUUUAAGGGUCCUGAAGGAACGUUGAAGACGACGACGUUGAUAGGCCGGGUGUGUAAGCGCAGCGAUGCGUUGAGCUAACCGGUACUAAUGAACCGUGAGG